rnacentral:rRNA from 1 species
UACGUAGGGUCCGAGCGUUGUCCGGAAUCACUGGGCGUAAAGGGCGCGUAGGCGGCCUGGUAAGUAGGGGGUGAAAUCCUGCGGCUUAACCGCAGGGCUGCCUUCUAAACUGUCAGGCUUGAGCACGGUAGAGGCAGAUGGAAUUCCCGGUGUAGCGGUGGAAUGCGUAGAGAUCGGGAAGAACAUCAGUGGCGAAGGCGGUCUGCUGGGCCGUUGCUGACGCUGAGGCGCGACAGCGUGGGGAGCAAACAGG